GUGAUUGAGGUUUAUUUUGGAGUGGAGUCAUGGAGUUCUCAGGUAUGCUCAUGGGAAGAUCAAGAAACAGAAACAGCUAAAAGAGUUAUCUGGAUAUAUUAGGACCAUCUUGCAGGCAUUGAAUUUAAAUGCAUCCCACUAAUGAUGUGUCCGUCUGGGAACCACGUGCUUUGGCCUAGAUAUCUUCAGCAGAAAGGGACAGCAGGCAAAUGGUUAUCUGCAAACAGGUCCUCCAGCCUCUCUGAAGAAUCUUUCCCAGGAAAAGAGUGGGAACUGAGGUGAAUUACAGACCAUACAACUGCAUGUGGGAGUUGGAGUUACAGGGAGAGGACGAUGUUAGAAGUCUCCAGGUGCAUUCACAGCAGCUUUGUAGUUUGGGUCAGUAGUUUUGAAACAAUUCUGCCCAUCUCCAACUUGCCAUAAUUAUGGCAUCACAGAAUCCUCUCAAACUGGAUUCCUCCAUGAUGAAGACAAAGCAGAAGAGGAGCUCAAGGAAAGCAUCUAAAGCACUACUACCACUGAAGAUGCUCAGUCUACUGGUCCAGAAGAAAGCUAGUUCAGAGUGACACAGUCUGUUUACACCAGCAUAAACUGUUUCCUGAUCUACAGAUCGGCUUCUACUUUCUAAUGUAGCCUUUAUGAUUAAAUGGAGCCUAGAUGGCAAAAAUGUUGCUGUGACCUAAGUGUACAAACAUUUUCCUUUCUCAAAGCCAUUUUUUACAAUGUAUCAAAGCCUUUGUUAACAUCCCAAGGAAGACAGAGGGAAUAAUCUAAAAGUUCAAAUAUAGUUCAAAACACUGCAGUCUGACAUGUGUCUGUCACUCAGUUGCAAUAUUGGAAACCUGUCAUAUAUUCUGGAGACGUUUUCUGCAGAUCUCUACAAAUCUGCUAACAAUUUCUGCAGACAGAGCUGCUGCCUGUCAGUGGGAGAUAGUCUUGUGCAUUCCUGGCCUCCUUUGUACCUUGAAUCAUGAAGCAAAAAUCAAGAGGAAGGAGGCAACAUGAUACAAAAUGACCCUAGCCUUCACCCAGUUCCUCUGUUAACAUGAAUUGAGGAAUGAGCUGGAGGCCACUCCAGUGUAUAGGCAUAUAGGGCUCACCUUGCAUGAGGAGGAUAUCCUAUACUGCAUAUAUUAAUUUUGCAGUUUAAUGGUCCCUGUAAUGUGACAUAAACCGUCUGUACCUCAGCAAAGAACUUGACUUGGUAAUAGAAAGCCUGCAGGAUAAAUUAGAUAAACAACAUUACAAUGCAACCCACAUCCUCACCCGUACCCUUAUCAGUGUUCACAUUAGCUUCUUUACUUCAUUGUGAAAAAUCAAGUUUGUAAAUCACUAUCUUGAUAGCAUCUAACUUCCAGGUCUAUUAUUCCUACCAUGACAAUCAAGGGCAUUGUUGAAGUUUCAAAUGUUUUCUUGGCUCAGUUUAGCAGCAAGAAAACCUGAGGACAAUUAAUAAGGCCAGUACUGAUUGGAAUCUGCCAAUCAGAGACAACAGCUAGGGUUUUUAUAGGUAAAGAAAAUUCUCUCUUCUGAUAUUUGCAUGAUGCUAGAUAAUUCAGGAUCACUUUUCAUUAGCUGAACUUGAGGAUGUCAUUUGAGCUUUUAGAAGGCCUGGUCUCAUUACAUCGAAUUCUACAGAAGAGCUGUUUUGC